CUCCUCUUGGAACUUCUCUGAGCUGAGCACUGCUGGAACUAGGAGAGACUUCCUGUGCAUCAUUUUGAUGACACUAUUUCACCAUUAGUUGUGGAGCAGCAGGAAUGAAGUGAUUUGGAAGACUUCUUGCGGUGAGCCGAACCCCUGCUCUGAAUAUUUUUCUUCUGUCUAUAAUAUAUAGCAAUGACAAAUGGAAGCAUGGACUGGGCUGCUGAAGAAGUAGGAGACAAUAAGAGAACAAGUUAGAUGAGAAGUCCUCUGACCUUGAGAAAGAAACAGCUAUCACUUCCAAAGGCAUCUUGCUUUUUUGUCAAUUUUCAAGUAAAACACUGAAUACACAUACAGUGUCACUUGAAGAAAUACAAAUAAAGAAUACUUGCAGAGUAAUUUAAGAGAUUUUUGUGAAUUAAUUGAACAUCGAGCAAAUCUACUAGCAAAUAUUUGUUAUCAGGUCAGUCAACAAAAAGUUGGUCUACAUAAUUCCAUUUGAAGAGCUUCUCCUUUUACAUUUUAUAUGCUGUUUUGCUUAGACACUACAUAUAACAGUGCAUGCCUUUAAUCUUUAAUAGAAAGAUUCUUUCCCCAUUAAAACCUCCAUUAGGUCCCUCAAAGUUACAUUGGAAAAUAAUUCUAGCUUCUAUGUGUCUUAUAAACUUUAUGCAGUUAGCUCUUCUGGGAGGAUUCCUUUUCCUCAUUUGAGUGUGUCAAGCUGGAUUGCCUGAUACUUGUGCUUAGUUUUCACCAGUUUAUAAGUAGUUCAGAAUGGUAUCUGUCUGAUGACUAUCUGUACAUUGAGAGAACAAACAAAUCACAAGCAAAUGCUGUGUGUGAUGGGAAAUUUGCAGGCAUCUUGCUAUGUUGUCAAUUUUUUCUUAUAUUACACUAGAAACUUCUAAUGUCCAAGGAGUCCCAUUUCAAAUAGUGCCUUACUACUUGGCACCUGUUAAACAGAAAUCAAUGGACUUUUAUUCAUGCUAAUUUCUUUCUGUUUAGCAUAAGUUCGUAGUUGUUAAAGGUUCCUUCUUCAUUCUAAAAACAAUCAUGGGAGUUUACUCAUAAAGAUGAGCAAGGAGGAUGCAUAGGAAACACAGGAUUUUGCAGAGAGAGGAACAAAAUAAAAAUGCAGUCCAGAGCUUUUAUGUCAGCAUCCAGUCCAUUAACUCAAGCUGAUCCAAGUUUGCCUCUGGCUCUUUUUGCCCCUUCCUCUCUCUCCUUACUACAUUUUAUGCUGUUACAAGAGGGAUGGAUUUUACUGUAUGAGAUUCAAUGUCCACCGUAUGUUCAUGCAACACCAUUGUGAUACAUGUAGUUCAUACCGUUCAUGUUUGUGGCCAUGCAACAUAAAAUAACCUAAAAUAAUCCUCUGGAAUGCUGCAGUUUCCAGCCAUUUUAUUAUAUUUCAUUAUGUUCUGUAGCCUGAAUUGGCCAUCAACCUUCUCUCUGUUCCUAACAGGAGAAUGAUCAUAGUUAUUUUAUAGGGUUAAAAAGUUAUUGAGUCUUCCUAUAAAAUCGCAGUGUAGAAUUUGUUGUGAACAAAAUAGAGCUGACUACAUUACUAUAGCAGAAUAAUUUGCAGCCAGAAUUGAAGCAUGUUCUUAAAAUCUAUUUUUAACAGUGUUUUCAGAAAUAGGCUGCAGUACCUUGAUUUUUGUCCUACAUAUUUUUGAACUGUAGGGAAAACCUGACAUUAGCAUGUUAAUGCAGUUGUAUCACAUGGAUACGUAAUACAAAUGUGUUUUCAUGAAAACCCAUUUUAAGUUACUGUGUUGAACCACUCAAUACAGCUGGAUUAUUUUCAGAUUCUCUGUAAUUUCCUGGUCGCAAGGUAUUCCAAACGAACAAUUCUCUCAGACUUUUGGAAGCCCAUGCAGGAUUAAUCUAAACAGGAGGUACAAUAGAAAGCUCCACUUUGUUAUAGGACUGGAGUUUAUCCAUUGACUUCAGCACUCGUCAGAGUGUAAAGCACAUGAGUUCUUCUUUUCUUGUCUAAACUAUUUUGAAUGAGGUCUCUUUUACAUGCUAGUUUGGCAAGCUUCUAAGGCAUUUGUGCAAAGUGAUGAUCCAAGAGCAACCUGAUUCAAUACUGAGAAAAUCAUAAAUAACAUCCAGCAGUAAUUAAAGUGACAAACUACAGCUAAGAAAAUUGAUCUCCUACAGUAUCAGUUGAGCUGCUAUACCUUGCAGUGUUAGAAGUGGAGCAGUGUUAGAAGUUGUACCUUCAGCUUGGGAGGCAUCAUUGUGAAUUUUAAACACUGACUGAAAUAUGAUAGAUGUAGAUAGAGAAAGACUAAGAGUGGAAGAAAAACACAGCACCAGAAAUUACCAUCUGGAAACAUACUAAACAUUUAGUCAGUAUAUUUGUAUUAAAAUGAAGAGUUAAUUUUGAAGACCGGAAAGAUUUGAAGAUAACUUAGUGCUCUCUAUAAGGCCAUUCUCAGGAGUCAAGUGUAUAAUCGUCUGAGACAGGAAUAUUUACAACUUCAGACUGAAGAACUGGAAGAACCAGUUGAUGUCUUUACCAUCUUGAUGAGAGUGCGUACACUCCUUCCAGUAAGUACAUGCUAAAGUCACAAAAAACCCUAUAAGUUGUCUGGAUUUUUUUCUUAGAUCAGGGUUAACUGGCAGGUAACAGAACUUAUUUGUUCAGUUUUUAUUUGUACAGAUCUCAAAAAUGUAGUAGAAUUUAGGUAGCUGGUAGUAUAGCAAAUAAUAUGUAGGUCUUAAAAAUAUAAUUUGGAGGCUUUUUUACUCGUUUCUCAGGCUCUCUUCUGAACCACCAGCACAGCUUGGAUUUAUUGGAAGGAAUACAUGGCCCCACAUUGGGUAAAACCUAAAUCUGUUCCUGUUAGGGAACAGGCGUUGUGCUGUAGCACGUAAUCCAUACCUUUCUGGUCUUCAAACAAGAGGUGAGAGUAGCUGUGGAUACUAGUUCAUGCUUCAGGCAGAAAAAGUAGCUGCCCCGAAACAACUUGAGACUUAACAUGCAAGAUCUGGAAAGUAGCCACUGCAUGAUAUUUGGACUUCAACCACAGGAAUUUCUGUGAUUAUGGUUUUGAUAGCAGCCAGAUAUUGGGGGAAUUCAGAUUUUAUACCUUGGCAGGACAGAAUAAUUCAACUGUGUUGUAGAUUAUUUGAUAAUGAAACCAGGAGUAAAUUGUGAAAUUUAGCUCUUGAACUGGGAUUGGAUAAAAAUGCUCCAGUUUAGAUGUGUUUGUGGUUUGGACCAACAUCUUGCAGUCAGUUUUUGUCUUUUUGUGACUCUAGUUUUAGGUACUAAACUGUAAACAUCACAAAGUCUUCUUACUUAGGAAGUUUGCUCUAUGCUUCCGUACUAGAUACAAGAUUUUUAGCAGGACUUAAUCUGAGGAACAGUUAAACAAAAACUUGUAUGAAUAAGGCACUAGUAAAUGUUUGCAGCAAAUAACAAGUAUAGUCUAUAUUCUUUAAGAAUAAAACUGUUCUGUUUAGGAAAUCGCCUUUAAUAUGACAGAGUUACCAAUGCCAGUUAGAAGGGCCUAGAGAAAGUGCAUCUUUUGGGUUAUGCCUGUGAGGUCUGUGAGAAACCCCUGAAUGCAAAUCCCUGUUAAAUUAGGAAAUAGCCUGUGCAGUAGUGAUACUCAGGAGAUUGGAAGCAAGAGGAAACUAGUUUAGAUUCUGAUCCCUGCUAAACUAGUGUGAAAUCAGCUAUGGAUUUGCUUCUGAUCUAUUACAGUGGUAGAAGGACCUGAAGCCAAAAUUGAGGCUGUUUUAGCAAAUCUAGUUAAACAGCAACAGCGCUGGCCUAGGCCAAAGAAUUGGUGUUAAUCCCCUUAGACAGUUUCAAAAAAUAAUCUGGCAUUUUAAAUUUCCUAUUUGCUGAAGUUCAAGGAUGCAUUUUUUCUUUUGGCUAAUGUAAUAGGUCGAGGCCUUAUGUACUACUUUGGAGCUGACACCAUUCUAAACAGUUAUGACAGCAUUGAUCUGUACUUUAUACCAAAUGAAAUUUGAGUCUGCCAUUCCAUUUAUAGGAUGGCUGGGCAGUAUUUCGCGUUGAAAGUUGUUCAAAACCACCCAAGUUCUUCCAUUCAUAAAACCAAAACAUACUGCUACUUUUAAAAAACACAUUAAAGUAUCUGGUCUUUGAGGGGGGAUAAUUGAAGCACCAAGAAUCUGUUUAUCUAGCCAAUAAGAAAAUAUUUGCAAACUAACAGAUCUUGUUAGUAUUCAUGAUCUGCAUUUUCCUAGGAUCUGUCCAAUAAAACUAUUUUACCAUUAAUUUGUUAUACUAAAUCAGUCAAUGGUCAGUCUCAUUUAAUCACUAAAUCCUGCUUUGUAAACAACUUAACUUUAUUAUCUGACAAACUUGUGUUCCACUCAGAUCCUCCAUUUUUUUAUGUAAGAUGUCUUUUAAAAAACUUAACACAUUUGCAGUAUCCAUAAUGCAAGAGGGAAAAAAAAUCCCCUGCAUUGAUUGACUACUGUAUAUUAUUGCCAUUAGGUGCUACAAUUAACAACUCCAGGCAGUUGUUUUUUUUUUUUUUGUUGUUGUUGUUUGUGUAAAUUAUUUUGUAUUUUAUGUAAGGUCAUGUGGUAUUAAGUUUAUCUCAAAUGUGGUAUUAAGUUUAUCUUUAAGAUCACAUAUCCAUAGGGACCUCAGAAACUGUAAAACCAUCUCAACCAGCUUUUAAAAAUGUGAUGAGCUUUUUGUUUGUUCAUUUUGUGGGUUUUUGGCUCACAAGACUAAAGUUAUUGGUGGUAUAACUCAGCUGAAAUUUUCACCAAUAAUUAAUCUGGACUAAUAUUCAUUUCUUUAACAAAACAAAAAAAAUCACAGCAAGUAAGCUAAGUGCUGGGAAUCUCUCUCCCAUACAUGCUAUGCUAUACAUACUGAAAUACAGAAGAAAAUCCAGAAAUUUCUCCUCACAAAGAUCUUUCUUUAUAGCAACACAGGAAAACUUUUGCUUUUAAAAUACUUGUUUCUUAUCAGUAUGUCAGAGCAUAUGCUUUUCUAUGUGUGUGUGAGAUUAAUACAUGGCAUGUGUUUAUCUGAAUACUAAAAAAUGUUAUUGACUAUUGGAGCUGUGCAAAAUAUUUUCUGUAGAAGCUGACAAUCUUAAAAGUUUUUUUGAUUAAUCAUAAUUUUCAGUAAGAUGAUGUAAAUAUUUGCAACUGCAAAAUAAAUGAAA
ensembl:lncRNA